CCCACCCAUGCCGCCCCCCUCCAGUUUCAAGUUUCAGUUUUGAAUCCUUCGUCUUUCUCUAGAUUCUCCUUCCCUGAGUCAUUGACGCCCCCCCUCCACGCCGCCGCUCCAGCUAGCUCUUUGGAACGGUGUCGUCGCAUGCCAUCACCACCCCUCUUGGCCGCUUCAAGUUGGUGUAUUUCGAGCUUAACAGAUCACUUCCUCUGAUCAUCAAAUGGUGCAUUCCCAAGGCCUCCAGUACGUUGAGUUUUAAGUUCCCACAUAACAUCCCCAUCUCACACGACAGACAAAACACUUCUAACUUCAACUUCCUCACGCCUCCCCUGUUGCUGCUAACCCUGUCAUCUCUUACUUCAUUGGGAGGCCAUAACAGAACGUGACUCCUUGAGCUUGCCUCAACCCAUCACUCGACUGCGACUUCCUCAUUCAAUGGUUUCGUUCUUCAAACCAAAAAAAACCCAUCACUCCAAGCCUUAAACCCAGCAACCGCGCCGGCCUUAGUCUGAAAUCUGCUCUGUCGCGGCGUCGCCCAGACCAACGCGUCUCAUCACCCACGACCCCACACUCGUUGGCCGUCGCCCACUUACCUGAAGGUUGAACAUAGCAUUGGAGUUUUCACUGAUUUCUAGAGGAUUUUGUCAUAAUUUUCCAGAUGAGUUCGGCAGUAGGUGAAAAUGAUGAUUUGAUUGAUUUGGACCCGUUUGAGUUACAAAGUUUUCAAAAUGAGGAAUCUAAAACAAAAUGAAGGAAACGGUAAAAUGUUUGGACUUUUUUUGAAAUGGUUCCUAAGUCUGAGAACAAUGAUGACAAGCCACGAGUCAAGUUUUGGUGUUCCAGUUUCUACAGUCGCAUUUGAAUCUACUUUUAGUGUUGGUGGGCAUAUCAUUGAUCAGUUUAGGAGUGUACUAAAAGCAGAUAUUGUUGAAGCAUUAGUCUGCACUAGAGAUUGGCUAUAUGGCGAGGAGCAAAAAUACAAGAAGUUAAAUUGGACGAGUUAACCGAAGAUAUAAUGGAGUUAGAGAAAAACAAGGGCAAGGAGGACGCUCCACCUCAUUCUUGAAGCUCUAAAUUUGUUUAGAUUUGUGUUUUUAUUAUAUUUGGGAUUGUAACAUUAAUAUACCGUCUAUGUGUGUUUUUAUUAUUAUUUUGGGAUGUAAUAUUAAUAUAUUAUUACAAUGUGUGUGGAUCAUAUUUGCUUGGAUUGUAA